rfam:Glarea lozoyensis 74030 unplaced genomic scaffold M7I_scaffold3, whole genome shotgun sequence.
ACAUACGACCAUAGACUGAAGAGCAUAGGGCAUCCCGUCCGCUCUGCCAAACUCAAGCUUCAGAUCGGUAGAUUAGUAGUUGGGUGGGUGACCACCAGCGAAUACCUACUGUUGUAUGUU